ensembl:snRNA U6 U6 spliceosomal RNA
GGGCUCGCUUCGGCGGCACAUACACUAAAAUUGGAAGGAUACAGAGAAGAUUAGCAUGGCCGCGGCGCAAGGGUGACACACAAGUUCGUGAAGUGUUCCAUAUUUAA